rnacentral:misc_RNA from 1 species
AACCUAGCACACCUGCGGUGUGUACCUGCGGAGGGAUCAUUACACAAUACAAUAUGAAGGCUGUCCGCAGCUGGAGUAUUUUAUUACCCUUGUCUUCUGCGCACUUGUUGUUUCCUGGGCGGGUUCGCUCGCCACCAGGACCACCAAAUAAACCUUUUUUAUGCAGUUGCAAUCAGCGUCAGUACAAACAAUGUAAAUCAUUUACAACUUUCAACAACGGAUCUCAGAUCGGAAGAGCAC